UGGUAAAGGAAACCCGCUGAGUCGUUUUUCUGAGAAGAGACCAUAUUUGUGCGCAGAGGAAGUUGUCGCUUUCUGGGGUCUGGGACAGACAGACAGACCUCGGCCUCCGGCAGGGCAGCCGCUGGAAGUGGACGGGCUGAGGAGGACACCUCCCAGCUCUGAAUCUUGGGGUGCCCUGUUCAUGGGCGAGGUCCCCGGCUCUGCCUGUGAGUCUUGCCUGCAGAAACAGCGGCCAUGGCCUUGAGGCACGUCCCCUUUCGCUCCGAGGUCCUGGCUUGGGACCCCGACAGUCUGGCGGAAUAUUUCAGGAAGCUGAACUACAAGGACUGUGAGAAGGCCGUGAAGAAGCACCACAUUGACGGACCCCGGUUCUUGAAUCUGACAGAAAAUGACAUCCAGAAGUUCCCCAAGCUCCGGGUGCCGUGAGUAGCCC